UAGAGUAUAUAUUUUGAUUUCCCCAUGGGGCAGCCACUCAGCACUCAUUUAUUUAAAUGAUACUUGCAGUAUUGCCUCUUUUCUAUGCCAGUUAUUCUGUCAUUUAUUUUACCAUCACAAAAUCCAGGGGAGGUUAAAAAAAAUUUUUUUUAAGUCACUAAAUGAAUUCAGUUGGUAAUAUGAGAAAAGAAUGUUCUAACAGCUAGGAGAGAUUCUUUUGACCUGUUGUGAGUUUGAUGUUGAAGUUCCUAUAGGAUUUUUUUUAAUAUCAUUAAACUAAUAACUAGCCAACUCAGGAUUUUUUGCAAUAGAUAAGCACCAUUAAAACAGGUAUAUCAGAAAGCACUUCCCAAUUCACGUAAAAAAGUAAAAUAUAAGAUUCACUUUUAGUGAGUUGUGUUAUUUAGUCUUCUGGAAUAUUGACCUCUUUUAAGUUUGUACUGAAGACAACAUUCAGCAAACAUUACUGAGCAUAUCCUGUGCAUAGCAAUGUUUUAGUCCAUUUUUAAAUAGAUACUUUAGCUAUUCAGAGUGUCUUUCCAUUAGCUAAGUAGAUUACUGUAGCUCCUAACAGAGAAUAUUUUUUCAAGAAAGUUCCAUAGUAAAUAAUGCAUCAAAAAGGAAGAUCACAGAUAAAGGUAGCAAUCACAGCAAAGUUGCAGCCCUGCUUGGAAAUACCACAGGAUAAUACCAUGAAAUAGCACUAAAAUUUCAAGAGAAAUCUACAGGAAGAGUGUACUUUAAAACAACUUCUGAUGAGGCCAAAGGUUUAACACUGUCAAAUGACUUGUUUUCUCAGUCAUGCAGCACCUGGGAAGGACAAACUGUUAAUGUUUAUCUUAGGGGGUUAUAGCAAUGAAAGAAUGGAAGUGUUGUGGAAAAGAAAACAAUCUAAAUUACUUUGGAAAGAAUACUGGGCUAGGGAUGUAGCUCAGUAGUAGAGCACUUGCCUAGCAUACAAGAGGCUCAAGGUUCGAUCCCCAGUAUUACAAAAAAACAAAAAAAUACUGAAGUUGAAAAUAAAAUCCAUAGAACAUGGUAAUUAGAAACAUUGGUUAAAAACAAAAUUAGAAAAAUUUGUUAGACAAAAUUAUUAAGUAACUGGAAGUCCAAGAUAAAAGGAAUUAAGUAUGGGAAUGAUAUAUUUCCUUUCCAGUUUAGAGUUAAUAUUGAGCUACAAUUACAUGUAAGACAAUGUUAGGUAUGGUGACUGAUCACAUUAGUGAAAUAGGAAAUAUGACCACAGUAAUGCAAAUAAGCCACAUGGUUACUAACUCCUUAUGUGUUUUUAUUUGGCCUUGGAAUGUGUUUUUUGUACUUAAUCUCCCUAGGGCUUUAUUUGAUAGUCUGGGAACUUAUUUCAAACACUGUGAAGAUGUGACUCAGGAAGUGCUGAGAAGCAGUGCACUGUGUUUUUCCUGACCCCUGUUCAACAUCAUCCUGCAGCCCACUCCAUGCUGAGAAUAGACAACUCUCAUCUGAGGCUGAGACUAACCAGAUUAUGCAGAACUUUCUUCUCUCCAUCACUGCCUGGAGCUGGGGUAGUCAUUAAGCAUUUGGGUUUCUAAGAAUUCCUUGAAGAGCUAUGCAAAGAGAAUAAGUAAAUGGCCUGUUAGUCAAACACAUUUAUUACUAUUAUAAUUAGAAAGGAGAAUAAUAUCAUUAAAUUAAAAAUGGAGUUUGUGGGGAAUUCAGAUAAUCAUCCACUUGUGGUUAAUAGAAAUUUGAAUUUAUUAAAUGAGACUAAUUAUAUUAAUCACAUUUUAUGUGAAAUUUGUAUGUUCUGAUUUUUAUUUUAAUGAGAAAGCACUUUGAAACUUUAGAAUUCUGCAAGAUAUAUUCCUUUGAAUGUUUAGCUUUAGGAGUGGUUUUGUUUUGUGUUCUUUUUGUGUUUUUUCUUUGAAUACUGAUUCUAUGUGUAAUUAGAAUUAAGUUUUGAUAAAUAAAAUCAUUUUAAAAUCACUAAGGAACUAGCUAUUUAAAUGAACACUAAUGAGUCAUUUUGCUAACGUAAUCUCCUCCUGUUUUAUUGUUUGUUUGUUUGUAAUCUAAAAUUUUACUUUGCAGGUUUUGUGUUUUCUUUUAAGCAGUGUAUACCUGCAGGCUCAAAUUAUUUAAAAAUCUGUUUAUGAACACUUUGAGAAAGAUUAAGCCUUGUUUUUGCUUCUCUGUCUUAAAGAAGGGAAAAUAACCAUUGUUUCCCUCUUCUAUCUUAAUUUCACUUUCAUCACUCAACAGAAAAUAUAUAACUGCCUUAGACCUUUGUUGGGACUUUCCCCAGCCCUCACUAUUACACCAGCAUGUUCUGGUCAUUUUGGUAACAUUGAAAAUCUUUGAUUGUUGCACUCCUUAAUAUUCAAAAACUGAAUUUCCUAAACAUUUGUGAAUGAUUUUUAGUGUGUAUUUUGGUUUGGGUAAUUAUUCCUCUUUUUCUUCCCUGCCCCAGUUGAAUGGAUUGCAGCAGUUACCAUUGCUGCCGGGACGGCUGCAAUUGGUUACUUAGCUUACAAGAGAUUCUAUGUCAAAGAUCAUAGCAAUAAAGCAAUGGUAAACCUUCACAUCCAGAAAGACAAUCCCAAGAUAGUACAUGCUUUUGACAUGGAGGAUCUGGGAGAUAAAGCUGUGUUCUGCCGUUGCUGGAGGUCCAAAAAGGUAAGGAUAAUAGGUCAUACAAAACUGUUAUCAAUGUAACAUUUCUUUUUAAUCUACUCUGUCAAACUUGUAUUACCAGAUUGUGAAGACACCCUUUUUUCUUUUUUUUUUUUUUUUAAUUGCAUCCUGUUCUUCUGUUUUCCAUAUAUUUACUACUAACAUAUAUAUAACUACCAUUCAGUCAAAUUAUACCAUACCCUCAAUUGAGUUCAGGUGAAUGCAACCAUAUUCUUGACCAAAUAAAAGAGAAAAAUCUCUUUAAUUUACUCUUAGGAUUUCCUCCCCAAGUGGAUCUUAGUUUCUUCUAUCCCAGGAAAUGGGAGUGUGCAGCUUGAGUACAACAAGAAACAAAAGAAAUACUUUUUUUUUUUUUUUUUUUUUAAGAUUAACAGCUCUGGAUACUAGGACAAGUUUUUAGAAAUUUCAAAAGAAACUUUUGAAAAUUACCCUAUCUUAUUGGCAUCCCAAACCUUCUAUCAGCUGUUAACUCCUUUAAUUAAAAAUCUAACAAUACAAGAUUCUUUAAAAUCUUAUUUAUUUUAUGAGAAUUGUAUUUCAGAUUUCUUGGGGAAAUAUCACCUACGGUACCUUUUCAGGUUUAGAUAUGAUGGCAGCUAGUGAGCCAGACAAUAGAAUCCUCUCCUGGGUUCAUCUUUUUCUUGAAUGACUUCAGAAUUUCUGGUAUAUUGUUAGAAAUACAGUGAAAACAUCGUAUGUGCUACCAUUAUUAGCAUUCAAGUAAAAUUUGUUUCACCAAAAAUAAUAGUAAAAGAUUCCAAAAAAACUGAUGUUUCUAGGGUGGGGAUGUAGCUUAAUAUUAGAGUUCUUGCCUAGCAUGCACAAAGCCAUGGGUUUAACCAAGUUCUGCCAAAAAAAAAAAAAUAAUUAAAAGUGUUCAUUUUUGAAAGUAUAUUAUGUUGGUGACCCUUCCCACAGUGAAGAACCAUUUAAUGAAUCAUAUUAUCAAAAAUGUGGAAGAGGGCUGGAAUUGUGGCCAGUGCUAGAGUGCUUGCCUAGGAUGUGUGAGGCACUGGGUUCAAUUCUCAGCACUGCAUAUAAAUAAAUAAAGUCCAUUGACAGCUAAAAAAAAUUUUUUUAAAUGUGGAAGAAACUGUGAGCUUGGUUCUAAAAAGUAUAUUUCUCGAAUCUAUUUCUCCCAAAUGAUCUAUGUACAAUCCAGUGAUUCAGAGCUAGAUUUUGUUACUGUGUUCAGAAAUUGAUGAAUAUAUGGAAUAUGAACCAAAAAUUAACAGACCCAUUACAACAAAUUGUACCUUAAGAAUAACACUGUAUAUUUAGAAUAGGCUUCCUAGUAAGUACUUGUGGGGUUGCUAGAAAAUAAUCUCUUAAUAGUAUUCCAUAGGCUAAACUUGGUUUAUUUUUUUAAACAAACCUUGUCUAUAGUAGGUGCCUCUCUUUUUGCUCAUUAAAAUAUGAAAAAUAAUGCAUUUCAAAAUUACAGAAUUUCUGUUGGUGUUGCAAUAGAUCUUCAGUUAAUGAUCUUAAAUAUAAGUUCAUUUACUGCUUACUAUAUAUAUGUACAUAUAUAGUAAAACAGUAGUUUUCUUGGAAGAGUAUAAUAAAUGCAAUACAAAUGUUCUAAAUGAGAGAAAAGAAAGAGCUUACACCAUGGACUAAAAUUUUCUGGGAAAGCAUAAUAAUUUAUGUUUGGGAGUUAAAUUUCCCCUGAAAAGAUAGGUGGUAUAUGAAUAUGCUGCAAGUAUUCGGAACCCAUUUUCAAAAUCUUCAAUAAAAGGCUCAUAUGAGGAAAGGGGUAUUGGGUGAAAACCCUAGUCUGGUCCUUGCACGAGCCCCUCUUUCCCCCAGGGAAUAAAUCUAAAUUGAGGAGAAUCUGAGUGACCGUGUGAGGAAUUUGUCCUUCCAGGCAUGCAGAAGUGGUAGGAUACAUAGUUUUCAGCAGGGAUUUCAGAUAUAAAGUUAUAAUACUUACAUCAGAGUGUUAGCUGUAUAAGUGUGUGUCCGGGGGUGGGGGGACAAACAGUUAAACAUUUUGAGGGAAAUAUCAGCCAAAUUUAGUGACUUGUGUUUGGAUGACUGGGGGAGCAAAACUAAAGGAACCAAGUGUGGGAAUUAGAAAGAUUAUGUCAUUAACAAAAAUAAGGAAUUCAGGUAAAAACCCGAUUUUCCAGAACAGCAAUAACAAGUUUAAUUUCAAAGAGUGUAUUUGAGGUGACAGUUGAAUGGAAAUGUACAGCAGAUGAUCUAAAAUGUGGGAGUACAGCUGAGACAUCAGGGUUGGAGAUAGAAAUCAGAAAAACUGAUGAGUCGAGUGUAAGAAUGUAACUGAUCCUUGGUACUGAUAAAAAUCAAAAGCUAAGUAUGAAAUCUUAGAGAAUUUUUUGCAUUUUGGAAAGAGGAACAAGAGUCAAUUGAGGGGGCUGGGGUUGUGGCUCAGCGGUAAAGUGCUUGCCUAGCACGUGCGAGGCCCUAGGUUCGAUCCUCAGCACCACAUGAAAAUAAAUAAGUAAAAUAAAGGUAUUGUGUCCAACUACAUCUAAAAAAUAAAUAUUUAAAAAAAAAUAAAAAUAAAAAUAAAAAAAAAGAGUCAAUUGAGGAGGUGAAAUAGGCCAGAGGGAUUACAAUAAAACUAAAAAUAUUGUGGCUUUAAAGUGGAAAUGGAAAAUUCUCAAAGAUUAUUAGUGAACAUCUGCCUAUACAAAAACAAAAACAAUCAGGUGAAUAAACUAUUGUAGUAGAACAGUUGGAUUAAGCAAGUAGGCAUCUGACCUUUGGUGUCAUUUCAACAGAAUGAUUAAACACUGUGUCUAAGUAGGUUAAAAUGUGAGUUACUAAUAAAGAAAUGCUAUAAGUCUGAGUAUAUGUCAAAAUUACAGUAAAUAUAAAUAGUGAAGGAAAGAAAAAUAAGGUAACUGCUUGAGGGAACUUUAAUAAAGCAUCACUUUGAGGUAAGGAGAGUUUUCCUUUGAUUGGGUUUUCCGAGAGGUAAAAGUGUCCAAUAAAGUAAAUAUGGAUUUUCUUCAACUAAGAUCUCAAUUUUUAUGACAAGAAGGAUCAAGAAUGGACACAAGCUAGUGGUUUAAAUGUUUAUUAGACUUUAUAAUUCAACAAAACAUUCCACUAUUAUUCUUUCAUUUUAUAGAGUUCCCAGAGGGUUAGAAGAGGGACCGCCAUUUCCCAUGGGGAAACUUCAAGAAAUGCCAGAUGACUUUUUGUGUAGGGAGGUGGGGAGUCUAUGGGCAUUCAGUAAUCCUCUUUGCAUGUAGGAUUUGCCAGUUACGAAUUUUCACUUGAGUCUUGGGUACUUGUUAUUCCUGCAUGACUCAAUUAAGGAUUCACUUUGAAUAUAUUCAAGUUAAUGAAUGUUCUUACUCUUCAGACACCUUUGGAAACUCCCCACAUUUCUCAGGUUCCAAAGGUUAUCACACAGCUGCCAAGUGACACAUUUACUGGCUGACUAACAUAAGACUUAAAAUUAACACCUUUGUUGAAAUGGUUGUAUUGAAUUAUAUUCAUUUUUCCCUCAUUCAAACCAGUUGUAUUUAUAAAUAACAAAAUCUAAGCUCCUUUUUACCAAUCAAAAAAUAUCGUGUGAUACAUAUAUUCUUAAGAUGCAAUCACCCAUACCUAAUUGAAUCAGAUCUCUUACUGAUGCACAGUAAUUACACUGUUUAACAUACUCCAUUCCUUCUCUUUCCAGACUUAAUAUGCUGUCUGCUGUUUCAGAAACUGGCCUAUUUUGUAGUAUUAUACAAAAGGGCUAUCCAUAUUUUAAGUAAAAAUGAAAUGAACCAGUACACAAGAGAUUAAAGUAACUUUAGGGAAAGGUACUAUUUGGGAUAGUGGUGUUUUGAAAAGGGGUGAAAGGAAAAGAGAAUAAGAGGAUAAAUGUGAAACUCUGCCUUAUAAGAGAUGGUCUCACUUUCAAAAAGAAAAUGAAAGAAGUUUGUUUGAGGGAAGAGUAUGCACCAUAGUUUUGCUAAAUUUCUGUCAUCCCCCACCCCCCACAUCAAGUAGUGUGUAGAAUUAUUUUCUUUCAUUUAUAACCUGGGGAGUUUGAGUUCUUAAUUUUGUAGGUAGUGGUGACAGCAGGCUUCUGUUUUGGUGAAAGUGUAUGUGUAUGAAUGAAAGAGAGAAAGCUUCCAUCCUAUUAAUGGUUUAGUAGUGGGUUGUAUUGUACUGAGUCCAUUUUUUCAUAGAAGCAAUAUUCCCAAUGUUAGAUCUUUUGAAAACCCAAUUUUGGAUUUAUGGUCUUGUAAAAUCUUAAUUUCUCUAUAUGUAUUUUCAUAUUAUAUCCACUAUCUUGUGUUUUAUUAAAUUAAGGACAUAAAAUGAGUAAAAAAUGUCAUAUUGUUCUCUAAGGUAGUGUCAAAGAUCUCAUUACUUUUAACUUUUUUUCUCAACCAAAGUAAUCAUAUUUCUCAGUUCAGAUAAUGGUAAUGAGCCAAAAUGACCUCAAGUAACUUCCUGGGAACAUAGCAACAAAACUCCCAUUAAAAAUACAAAGUUUAGGGCUGGGGUAUAGCUUAGUGGUAGAGUUCUUGUGUAGUAGGUACAAGGUCCUAGAUUUAAUCCCCAGCACCACACACACAAAAAAAUAAUAAUAAUAAAUAAAGUUUGGAAGAUAAUGUGAUAGUUUCUUUUUUUAAGUGUUUCAGAUAGAAGACACAGAGAAGAGCAUUUAUUUCUAUUUUGAAACUUCUUGAAAAAGACACAAGAUGUAAGGGUCAUUAAAAAAAUAAAUCUUGUGCCUUGUGUUUUUUAUGAAGACCCUGAGAGUGUUACUGUCUUUCCAAGGAAAGAGCAAGGAUCUUUGAUAUUUUUGUGCUUACUCUUUCAUUCUAACCUUUUCUCACACUCUUCUUCCCAGUUUUAAAGAUUUAUAGUUUUCAUAUUGGGUUAAUAGUAUUUAUUUUAUGUACAUCCAGGAAAUUGAGGCAAUUUGAUUAACAAACUUUCUCUGGGUUUUGAUAAUAAAGAAAUACUGGCAUCUUACAAGAAAUUUGGCAGUAUGUCAACUGAAUUAAAAUACCCUUUGAGUUUUUUGUUUAAGUUCUUUACUUGAGGGCUGGGGAUGUGGCUCAAGUGGUAGCGCGCUCGCCUGGCGUGCGUGCGGCCCGGGUUCGAUCCUCAGCACCACAUACAAAGAUGUUGUGUCCGCCGAAAACUAAAAAAUAAAUAUUAAAAAAAAAAAAAAAAGUUCUUUACUUGACAGUUAAACAUAAUUCAGAAUUUUUAAUUUCAGAAGUUUAAAGUUUGAACAAAUUUCAAAAUUUGUUUUUAUUACAUUGCUAUUUAAUACAAAAACUCUUUAUGAAGAUAAGUUUGAAAGCAUAUAUAUAUAUAUAUAUAUAUAUAUUCACUACACAUUUUCUUUCUCUUGCAUAGAAAUAUCAAGCAAGGCACUCCCUGAAAAACAUAAAUAUUUUUAUAUAAUUUGCCUUUUGAAUUUGAAUGCCAAGUAACAUUCAUUCACUUAUACUAUAUUGAGAAUUCUGGAUUAAUUUAAAUAUAUUUUAUUACCAUGUAUAUUGUAUUAAGAAAUUAAUGAUCCUAUCUUGAAAUUACCCAUUUUUAUUCUCUAUUGAAAAAAAGUUUUUAGUCUUUUCAUCAACUUAAAAUUAGAAAUCUGCACUGAAUGGGGCAUGUUCUGAUUUAGUGCAGUAAAUUUUGGAGUCAAAUGAUAAAAGAAAGUACCAUUAAAAGGCACCUGUAGGGCUGGGGUUGUGGCUCAGUGGCAGAACCCUUGCCUAGCAUGUGUGAGGCACUGGGUUCAGUUCUCAACACCACAUAAAAAUAAAUAAAGGUCCACCAACAACUAAUAAAAUAUUUUUUAAAAGGCAUCUGUAUAGGAUAACAUAAAGAACCAAUCAAAUAUAAAUUAAUAGAAGAACAAAAGUGAAUCUAGUAGAGCAGAUGAAGGAGAAUGGGAGAGGAAAGGGAGGACAGGAGAGAAAAUGGGAAAUUAUGAACUGAAAUCGAUUUUCAUGCAUUUUUGUAGCCAAGCGCAGUGGUGUACUAUGGAUGUAGCUCAGUGGUAGAGCACUUGCCUGGCGUGCGUGAGGCCCUGGGUUCCAUCCCCAAUACUGGAGAAAAAAAAGUGUUGCUAAAAAAAAUUAAUUUUAAUACCUAGUUUACAUUUCUUUUGGUACUAAGGAUUGAACCCAAAGGCACUUUACAACUGUGCUCCAUCCACAGUUGUAAAGUGAGUCAGGGUUUUGCUAAGUUGCUCAGCCCAGCCUCAAACUUGCGGUCCUCCUGUCUCACCCUCAUAAGUAGCUGGGAUUACAGGCAUGAGCCACCACUGCCAGGCCCGAGUUUACAUUUUAAAGAUGUAAAAGCGUCAUAUACUAUAAACCUAUUAAAGUAUAUUAACAAGUAUCGAGGAUUUAUUACUCCUUUUUCCCCCCACCCUUUGGCUAGGAUGUUCGAACCCAGGGUAACUUUACCAUUGAACGAUACUCCAGAGGUACAGCUAUUUUGAGACAAGGUGUCUCCCUGAAUUGACAAGGCUGGCCUUGAACUUUCAAUUCUCCUGUCUCAGCCUUCUGAGCUGCUGGGAUCACAGGUGUGUGCUAUUGCACCCAGCCCUUCUUGCUACUUUUUAAAGAAAUGUUUAUUUUUUGUUUGAACAUGAGGGCAGAAAUAGAUUAUUAGAAAAAAAAAAGCAUAUUCAAACUUUAAAUGUUGACUUUCUUAAUAUUUUAUAACCUUUUUUUUUUCUUUUUUUCUUUUUUUUUUUUUUUUUUGGAGCUGGUGAUGCAUCUCUGUGCCUAGCAAACAUAAGGCCCUGUUUUUUAUCUCGGUGCCUCAAGGGAAAACAAGAUUUUCUUUGUAUAUUUCUUUAUAAAUUACUCUUCCUAUUCUUGAUUCUUGUUUCUGGAGGAAGUAAUAUGAGAAAAUAAGUUAGUUUUUGAAGAGAUUAAAACAAAAAUUAAGUGUGCCAUUUCAAUAAGUUAGUUGAGGCUUUUUAUUUAGAAAUGUUUCGUUUUCAGAAAUAUAUUUUAUAAUCCGUGUAAAUAAAACUGUACUAAAAUGCUUUGUGUGCGCUGUUUAUAAAAAUGAAGUCUUUUACAACGUAAACUUUUAUUCUUACUAUAAAAUGAUCUGUUUAUCAAACAUGUCACUUUGAAAUGCUGACCUCUGAUAUGGAAUACAUUUUAGUUUGCUCUUUUUUUUUUUUUAAGAGAGAGAGAGAAUUUUUUAAUAUUUAUUUUUAGUUUUUUGACGGACACAACAUCUUUGUAUGUGGUGCCGAGGAUCGAACCCUGGCCGCACACAUGCCAGACGAGCGCCGCUACCGCUUGAGCCACAUCCCCAGCCCUUAGUUUGCUCUUUAUAGCCUCUUUCCUCAUCUAUGCCAAGAAAAAAACUGAAAUCUUGUGGGUUCAUGUUUUUGUUACAAGGACUUAUUUUUAUUAUGGACAUAUGCCAUAUCCUAGUGAUCUAAAAAAAGAAAUAUGUAGUCUUUUCAUACAUUACAUUUGCACUGCCAUCUACUCCAAGAUAGACUUAUGUCUAGAAAUUUAAGAUAUGCUCAUAUCUUGAAUUUUCCUAUAAUUUUUAAUUAAUUUAUUGCCUGUUUUAAUUAUGUACCAAUAGUUAAAUUAAGAUGGGAUUUCUAUAACAUCAGUCAAAUAUUAUUUUAAUCUUAGAAUUGAGGCUUUGGAGUAUCAUAGUUUGAGAUUAUGUGCCAUCAUAGGUUUCAAGUGUCAGAAAUUAUACUUUGUUCAUUUGAGUAAUGAGGUGAUUGUUAUUUGAAGGGCAAGGUACUGUUACUUUACUCUUCUGAAUAAACUUCUUCAAUGACACAGUAUACCUUCUAUUAAACUAUGAAGCUCACAGAUUCUAGAGUGUAGUUCAAAAUAUCAAGAAAAAUAAAUGCUAGCUCUCACGGUUUGAUGUUAAAUAGAAAUAAAAUGUACAAAUAUAAAAGGAAAGAAAGAAUUUACUGAUAAGUGGACCUCCUAAGUAUAAAAUCCUGAGGAGUCACCAGAAAUGUUAUUGAAUUCUUAUUUUUAUCUUUUAACAAUAGAAAGGAUAUGCUCACACACAAAAAAAAUUAUAUACAGCAAGAAUAUUCAGAUAUGAAUAUUUGGAAAUUAUAUAAAGAAAUAUAAAAUAACAACAGAAAUAAUCUCAGAAGAAUGUGCAUGGGAACUGAAAAUGAAAACUACAAGAGAAAUAAGGCAAAAAAAAUUCUCAAGCUUAUCUAGAAGAAUAAAUAAAUAAAACAUAAUAAAGUUAGCAAAGAAGAAUAAUGAAAGAAAACCCACCCUAUCAAAUACUGGAACUUAUUUUAAAAGCAGUUACCUCUAAACAAUGUGAUAACAAGGAACAUAUAAGUAGGCAUUUUUAUAUGAUUUUAUUUUGAUAAAAUUAUGAAUAAAGGUAUAACAAUUUGAAAAGUGACAACCUCUAGUAAUAUUGAAGCAACAGGCUCUUAAACAGCAUUUUGCAAAAUAUGCCCUACAUGAUUCUGUGAUGAUGGAUAUCAAAGUUAAAAAUGCCCAUAAUCCAGGCAAUUUGAGAAAUUCUAGGUUAAUGAUAAUGUUUUUUACAAAAUGAUUUCUUCAAAAUUAAAAAAAUAUGCUGUGACUCAAGAGUUAUAUAUGUGUUUUAAACAGAAGGAAACUAAAUCAGAAUAACUUGCAGGAUUCAGCUUCUUUGGAAUACUCUGGGAAGUACUAUUAAAAUUUUAAUUUUGGGACUAGGGUUGGCUCAGCAGCAGAGCACUCACCUAGCACGUGCAAGGUGCUGGGUUCGAUCCUCAGCAUCACAUAAAAAUAAAUAAAUAAAGGUAUUGUGUUCAACUACAACUAAGAUUUAGUUUUGUUCCUUUCCCUCCCACUAGAUACCAAAAAGAUCAGUUACAACUAAAAUGUAAAAUCAUGAAAACAAAAUAGAAACUGGGAAUUUAUAUAUAUUCAUCACAACUGUAGAUGCCUCUAUGAACAAUGGUAAAAGGGAAAUAGUAGCAUAGUUGUAUGAAAGUAAAGAGAUUAAAGGUAUGAAAAACUAAACAAAAACUUGGGGGAAAGAUUGCUGCAAAGAUGGUCAGUAGAGAUAGCAUACAAAUUAAUUUUAAAUAAAUAAAAUCUUAUUAAUAGUGCUAGGGGUAUAGCUCACUGGUUGCCUAGCAUGCACAAGGCUCUAGGUUUGAACCCAGCACCAAGGAUGAAGAAAGAGAUUAAUCCUUACAAAUAGGCAAUGGACAUAGUUCACUGGAAACUUAACUAGUAUAUAGACUGAAAUAGGUUUACAGCAUCCAUAAUCAAAUAUCAGUGAAAUUCAACUCCUGAUGUGUCUUAUCCCCAAGGGAUUUCUUCCUCCUACUCAGUAUGUGUAUUUUGCAUGUGCUCCUUAAAAAUCCUAUUUAAAGUUUCAAGAAAAAUCUUUUAAGUUCUGAUGUGUGUGAAUUAAACAUCACUCUAGUUCUGCCAAGCACUAUAUACUGUUUGGGGAUUAGCUGUUCCACAUUCAUUCUCUCUUUCUCUUCUAGUUUCCAUUCUGUGAUGGUGCUCACACAAAACAUAACGAAGAGACUGGAGACAACGUGGGACCUCUGAUUGUCAAGAAAAAAGAAAGUUAAACGGACAAUUUUGAUGCUGCAGACCAACUUGUCAUGAUGUUACCUGAUAAUUUAAUUAGAAUGACUACCACUUCUGUCUAAUUUACCUCCCCUGCGUUCUAGAUGUGUGGUAUAUUGCAAACCUCACCUUUCACAUUCAUGGCAUUUGCCUUACUUGUUGAAACAUCGUGGUGCACAUUUGUUUAAACAAAAAAGGAAAACCAACCUUAUGGCCUAUGGGUUAUUUUGGUCUUGUAAGGAUCCGUUUCUUUAAAUUUAAAAUAAUGGUAUUAGACUAUAGUUGUAUCUUGAGGUUGGUGUAUUAAAUUAUUCUCAAAAUCAUGUAUAUGCAGAUUGUACUUGGAAGUUUCAAAGAAAAUUUUAUCGCCUUUUCAUAUUGCUUAUUUGACCUAGAAAGUGAACAGGGUGUGAUUAAGCUACAUUAAUUUCGUAGUAUAGUCUUAAGAAAAACCUGUUAUAACCUUGAUUUUCUUCUUGACAGUGGUAAUAACACUAAGAAAAUACAGCUUCUGUGUUUUCAACGUUUUCAAUUUAAAUGAACUAUGAAUGUCACUCUACUUAAUUAUAAGUUGACCAGGUCAGUAAUAAAGGGGCAGCAACUUCCUUUGUGUUUAUCUUUAUGGAUAUUUAAUUGAUCCAUUAAAAGAACAAAUAGUAGGAAUUUAGAUCACAGUGAGAAUAGGUUAAAAGUAGUCAUGAAGAAUGUCUUAAAAUAUAAUGCUCCAGAAUUCUAGACCAAGGAGUGGCAAGCACUGGAACUAAGGACGUGGAAGAAACUGAAGCACACAUUUCAAGUCUCUUAAUCACAAAGCCAAACAUCUGUGACGGAAAUAGUAGUCAUAAGACUAGAUCAAAGAUGGGGGAAAAUUUUUUAUUCCUCACUCUGGAUAAUCAAACACAUGGCUUAUAUUAGUAAAGAUACUAUUUGGGAAAGAAAAAAGAAAUUUAUCCUCUUAAAUUGUAUGAUCUUUAUUCUUCAAAGAUUUGAAGACAAAGUGUUUAUGUAAUAUUCUUCAAGACUCAGAUCAGGGCUGGGAUUGUAGGUCAGUGGUACAGUGCUUGCACAAGUGAGGCACUAGAUUCAAUCUUCAGCACCCCAUAAAAAUAAAUAAAUAAAAGGUAUUGUGUCCA
rnacentral:lncRNA from 1 species